UUGAAAGGUACAUACUUAACCUAUUAUUGAUUUUGUGCCAAGUCUUUGAUCAUUUGCAACUACAAGGUCCUCUCUUGAAUUUCUGUUCCAGAAAUGCUUUAAAAAUUACACUGAGCUGUACUCUCUAGAGCAGCCUCUCCAAACGAUGGACCUUGGAAACAGUUCCACUGUGUGAUUACGAGCGCCUUUGGAGAACUGAUUCAGAGGGGCAGAACAGUGUUCUGGGACCCAUUAAUUUAUUUUUCUCUGCUGUUAUUAAACAAUACUUGAAACUAUCAGGCCAUAGUAGGAGCUUCCUCUAGAACAUUACAUUAGCAGUAGGCUAUGUUCACUGCUAGAUUACUGUGCAAUGUUUACUGAAUUACAAUCUGUUAUUUUUUAAAGGAUAUCAUGAAAGCCAUAAUUUGCAUCUUUGCCUGUAUAAUGAUAGAUGCUGUAAUAAGCAGCUGUUGCGAUGGCCAUCCAGCUUUAAAUGAGCCUAGGAAACUCUUCCUUGUUCGGAGGAAUAAUGAUGACAUUUAAAGCUGGAAUUCUGCACUGCCUUAUUUUCACACCUGUUUUCUAGACACUAUCUGAAAGCAUUGCUUCUUCUGAGAAGUAUCUUGAGUAAUGUGAGAGAAAAGAGACCCCCCCCCACACACACACUCAAGUUGUCAGCAUGUGUAAUAUUAUUGAAAUAGUCACUUUGCCUUCGUCAUAAUGGUUCUGCUUGGCUGAUGUGACCGCUUUUCCUUCUUGUGAGUUGACCUUUAACUAAUAAUGCUAAAGGUGACCAUCCUAAAAGUGCUUUUUGUGGAAAUGGAUCUUUAUUGCACAGCUCUUGGAAGUUUCCAUUUACAUACUUGUAAAGGUAUAGAAGUUGUUUACCUCAUCUUCAGUUAUUUUGACCAAAGUUAAACUAGAAGUGAUAUGAAAUUAAUGCAUAAGAUAGAUGAAGGACCAACCUCCUAUAGGCUAUGUUACAUUGUGACACUGAGCUGCUUUAUAUUCAGUGUUUGUAUUAAGAUAGAGAGUAGGAAGCUCCUGUAGGAUAAGCAUUAACGAAGACGAGCAUCUAGUCCAAAACAGAUAAACUGUUCAUGAUUUGAGCAAAGCCACUAUCAGGGGCUGUAUUGCUUUAAGGUCCUGUGAAAAUUAUUGUCAGUUUGGGAAGAUGUGGCUUUCUUGUGGGCACAAUGGUCAGACUGCUGUUCUAUCAAAUGGUUCUAUGGCAGGGGAAGUAUAAAGGAAGCUAGAUGUGGGACAGCUUGAUAGGGUAACUGGAACAUAGAAGAUAAUAAACUUGUAGGCACAUUCAGAAGAAAAGAUAAUGGAAAGGAACUUCAGGCUUUCAGAGAAAUCAUAGGAGAUGAACUCGUUCAGACUUACAUCUAUGAAGGUGUCACAGCUAAAAGAAUCUUCAAAAAAGCUUGAACAGGAUUGAAACAUGAUGGAGGAGUUACUAUACACAUGGCAACUGUGCUUUUUACAACAAGCACACAGUAACUCAGUCUGUUAUUCUUUUACGGUAGAAGCGUAACUAAGACCUAUUUAUCUUAUGUCCCAUGUUUACUCAGUGUUACUAAGAGCUGUAAAGAAUACUUAGCUUUCAUAAUGGAAAUCAAUAAACUUGUUUCCUACACUA